UCUGAUGGACCUUCUGCUGACUGAUCACGAGUUGCCUCUGUAGAGAAUCACUCUUCAAUGAUUUGUCAAGAUUUGCCACUAUGCACAAAAUCUGUCAACAUAUUGUAAUGCUGAAUUUGUAUCUUUUGAAACAACGUUUACCAAUAUAACCACUAUCAGAAAAACAUGGGUUUCCGUGGUCCUCUCUGCUGCUGCUGAUACUGUAUCAUGGCCUUUAUGUUCAUCCAUCACACAAAGCGUACAGAUACACUGCUGAUCAGUACGACAGAAAACCUCCAGCAAUUUCUCAUGAUCAGAGUUUGUGUGAAGUGGCAGGACUUCCUGGUUUUGCCUGAGGGGUGGGGUUAGAGAAAACAGGUGAAGGAGGAAGUUUUUCGACAGGAAGAGAGAGGCUGUGAGCCUCAAAUCCACGCCUAUCCAUUAUGCACUUUCUCUCUUCAUGGUCACAUGUUGUUGACAAACCUCAGAGGGUGACUUCUACAGAGUGGUUAGGGGUUUUAAUAAACACAUCUUUGGACACA